UACGGGGGGGGCAAGCGUUGUUCGGAAUUACUGGGCGUAAAGGGCUCGUAGGCGGCCAACUAAGUCCGACGUGAAAUCCCCAGGCUUAACCUGGGAACUGCGUCGGAUACUGGAUGGCUUGAAUCCGGGAGAGGGAUGUGGAAUUCCAGGUGUAGCGGUGAAAUGCGUAGAUAUCUGGAGGAACACCGGUGGCGAAGGCGGCAUCCUGGACCGGUAUUGACGCUGAUGCGCGAAAGCCAGGGGAGCAAACGGG
rnacentral:rRNA from 1 species